CUGAUUCUCACGUGCCACCGGCACUGGCUUCAGCUUCUCCACCCGCCAUACGUGCAGGCCGGGAUCCUGCACCGAGGCUGGGAACGGAGAGCCGCUGCAGGAGGGAAGAGGGUUGGCAAAAGUCUGAACUCCACUCACC